rnacentral:misc_RNA from 1 species
UUUUUUCUUUUCAUUUUUUUUUAAUUUUUAUUUUUAUACUAUUUAAAAAAAUUAAAAAAAGGGAAAAUUGACAUUAUUUCACUCAGGGUCGCUUGGUCAUCCCACGUCUCUCACCUCAGCACUCUCAGGUGCUCGCCUCUUUCAAGUUGACUCGCCUCUUUCAAGUUGACUCGCCUCAGUCAGGCGAGGCGCUAAGGGCUCGCCUCGCCUCACCUCGCCCAGCUCCUCGCCUAGCGCCUUUUGUCGCCUUUAACAACACUGUUUUAAUCUGAGUUUAUAUGAGUGGCUGAGUUGCUUUACACAUUAAAAUGAUUAGCCAAAUUAAUGUUGCAACUCAUUCACUUAUUUUUCUAUUUUUCCGAUGUGGGAUAUAUAAUCCUAGCACUCCGCACUCAAGUGCAAUCCCACGGUUGGUCACUUGACAAUUAGUUAAUAUUUAACCCAAUAUGGGUCUAAUUAUACAGUCUUAUGGGCGGCUACAACUCACAACUCAAAUCGGACUCUGCUACCAUGUUAAAUUAUGGAGAGAGUGCUGGACAUAUUAUGUAUUAAUUCAUUUUUAAUUUGAGUUUAUAUAAGUGAUUGAGUUGCUUU